rfam:Arthrobacter sp. YC-RL1 contig_12, whole genome shotgun sequence.
CGUAGUGACACGGGGUGCCGCCAUGCGGCUGAGAUAAAACCCGUCGAACCUGAUCCAGUUAGCACUGGCGAAGGGAAUGUCCUGGAUACCUCGA